GCGGCGGCUGGACCGACGGCAACCACCGGCUCGGCACCGGCCCGGAAAAGGACGUCGGGUUCCCGUACCGUUCGGCGCUGGUGCCGCGGCGC
rnacentral:tRNA from 1 species